UACGUAGGCAGCAAGCGUUGUUCGGAAUUACUGGGCGUAAAGAGUGUGUAGGCGGUGUUCUAAGUUUGUCGUGAAAUCUCCCCGGCUUAACUGGGAGGGUGCGGCGAAAACUGGAAUGCUAGAGGAUGGGAGAGGUAAGCGGAAUUCCUGGUGUAGCGGUGAAAAUGCGUAGAUAUCAGGAGGAACACCUGUGGUGUAGACAGCUUACUGGACCAUUUCUGACGCUGAGACACGAAAGCGUGGGUAGCAAACAGG
rnacentral:rRNA from 1 species